CUUCCCUAUGAGCUGCCGAGCAAGCGGUCACAUCUACCGUCUACUACCGGACGUCCCUCCAGGCCCCCGGAGACACAACAUGGCGGCUUUACUGUGGCGUGUACAGAAGUUUGGAGGUGGCAACUUGUUGGAUUGUAUUAAUGCUGAAUUCACCAGAAGUUAACACUGAGUCUGUGAAGAUAUGCAGUUGUGUUUUAUUACAUCUAGACUGCUUUCACAUUGAUGCACAGGAAACCAAACCAGAUACACCUGAGCUCCUUGAGCCUGAACUCAGCAGGAGGACUUGAAGAAUUGGCCGACAGCAGCGGCGCAGCUCAAUUAACCUCCAGUCACCUUCAAGUUCACCGACAAAAAGCUUUUGAAGACAAAAACAAAUGAAGAAAGGCAGCUGGGAAUCUGAAGCUACACUGACUUCCUGUGUGACGAACAACUGGUUUUAAAUUUAAACUACA